UACGUAGGGGGCAAGCGUUGUCCGGAUUUAUUGGGCGUAAAGAGCGUGUAGGCGGCUAUACAGGUCCGCUGUGAAAACUCGAGGCUCAACCUCGAGACGUCGGUGGAAACCGUAUGGCUAGAGUCCGGAAGAGGAGAGUGGAAUUCCUGGUGUAGCGGUGAAAUGCGCAGAUAUCGGGAGGAACACCUAUGGCGAAGGCAGCUCGCUGGGACGUUACUGACGCUGAGACGCGAAAGCGUGGGGAGCAAACAGG
rnacentral:rRNA from 1 species